GUUGAAACACUGACUCUCGUACGAUCACCGAUCUUAAGCAACGUUGAGUCCAGUCAGUACCUAGAUGGGCAACCACUAGGGAAUAUCAGGUGCUGCAAU